rnacentral:rRNA from 1 species
UGGGGAAUCUUCCGCAAUGGACGAAAGUCUGACGGAGCAACGCCGCGUGAGUGAUGACGGUCUUCGGAUUGUAAAGCUCUGUUAAUCGGGACGAAUGGUUUGUGUGCAAAUAGUGCAUCGACAUGACGGUACCGGAAUAGAAAGCCACGGCUAACUACGUGCCAGCAGCCGCGGUAAUACGUAGGUGGCAAGCGUUGUCCGGAAUUAUUGGGCGUAAAGCGCGCGCAGGCGGACUAGCCAGUCAGUCUUAAAAGUUCGGGGCUUAACCCCGUGAUGGGAUUGAAACUACUAGUCUAGAGUAUCGGAGAGGAAAGUGGAAUUCCUAGUGUAGCGGUGAAAUGCGUAGAUAUUAGGAAGAACACCAGUGGCGAAGGCGACUUUCUGGACGAACACUGACGCUGAGGCGCGAAAGCCAGGGGAGCGAACGGG